rnacentral:lncRNA from 1 species
GUGAACUAGGAUGCUAGAGCUCACUGUUUCCUGCCGGGUGCAUAUUGGUUACAUUGUUGCCCUGCCCCUUCUGAUCUACUACACUUAACAUUCUUCUUGCUUUUCCUGUAUUUCAUCCUAGUUUUAAGUAGAAUGUAAAUAUUUACAGUCUGCUCAGUGUUUGAAUUUCUAUUCUUGGAAAUUAAAUCAUUCAUUCAUUAACACAUUUCUUUUUUUCUGUUUCGUUCCUAGCCACGGUCAGAGCGGAAGUGGAGGUGAGACACAAGCUUUCUGUUUGUAGUCUUGAACAUGUUUGAAAAUGUUAAUGAGAAAACACUGUAGUUUGCUGACUGUAAAGAGGAGUUUUUUAUAUUUCUGUACAUCAAGUCAAGGGUUUUAAAUAUAAUUUUAUUGGUACAGCCAUUGUACCACAAGAUUUCUGUGUAAGCAUGUAAUGAACUUUAUCAUAUCCUCCCCAACCCGUACCUUUCUUCCUCUUCCUCUUCCUCUUCCCCCUCCCCUUACUUCCUACCUUUGCUCCCCUAGACCAUUUCUCUUCUGCUUUCUUGUCAUAUAUACAUACAUCAUUUUAUAGAUCUGUAUAGGAACCAGAAAUUAAAGACCCAACAGGAUCUUCAGGAGGGAAAGUCCUCGGAGUCUAUGACCCAGAUUCUAGACCUGGUCACCAAGUGACUGUGACUCGGUCACCUCUGUCUUCCACGUUUGCUGUGGAUCCUCGUGUGACUCCACUCUCAGAGUGCCUGGGAUAGUCUUGCUUUCUGCACACUGUCUGAGUGCAAUUUAGAAUAAGAAGCCUCCCCAGUACCAUGCAGUUUUUAUCACAAUUGCUCUGUAGUACAGCUUAAUGUCAGGCAUGAUGAUUCCACCAGAGGUUCUUUUAUUGUUGAGAAGAGUUUCUGCUAUCCUAGGUUUUUUUGUUAUUUCAGAUAAAUUUGCAAAUUGCCCUUCCUAACUCUGUGAAGAAUUGAGUUGGAAUUUUGAUGGGGAUUGCAUUGAAUCUGUAUAUUGCUUUCGGCAAGAUAGCCAUUUUGACUAUAUUAAUCCUGCCAAUCCAUGAGCGAGGGAGCACUAUGUUUUCUCAUAUUAAUUCUCACCCACACAUUUUACAUCAGAUCCGGAGUGUCCAUCAUCCCUCAUUUCUUUAUGAUGGCUUUGGCCCUAACACGCUUUAAAAUAAUCAAUAAAGCAACUGAUUUAGGAACUAUCUACGUGGUAGUGAGAAAUGCAAAGUUUUCCACUUAAAUGACUAAUACGAAAAAGGGAUGCUUUCCGCAGUCAAAUGGGAGAGAAUUGUAUCAAAAUCAGAGUGGCCUGUAUGUGAUCAGGUUGUACAACUGACAAAAGAUUUCCUUCCUAAUCCGAAUGAAGGGAUGUUCCCCCCGCCACCAACAGACGACGAGAUCUAUGACGGAAUAGAGGAGGAAGAUGAUGACGAUGGGUAAGAAUAAUCACUGAAUUGCUUUUCCCCCAUGGUAUCACAUAUAUGACAAUUUAAUGUUCAUCUCCAGAUAGUAUAAACAGUAGAAAAUGUUGUUCUUCUUCGGUCCUAAAAUUGUGAGAAGGUUUAAUUGUCAUUAAGGGUAAAUCAUAAAGGAUAAUUGUAUCACACUGUAAACAAACUAGUAAAUUGAAAAAUCUCAUUUAUG